rnacentral:rRNA from 1 species
UACGUAGGGUGCGAGCGUUAAUCGGAAUUACUGGGCGUAAAGCGUGCGCAGGCGGUUCUACAAGACAGAUGUGAAAUCCCCGGGCUCAACCUGGGAACUGCAUUUGUGACUGUAGGGCUAGAGUACGGCAGAGGGGGAUGGAAUUCCGCGUGUAGCAGUGAAAUGCGUAGAUAUGCGGAGGAACACCGAUGGCGAAGGCAAUCCCCUGGGCCUGUACUGACGCUCAUGCACGAAAGCGUGGGGAGCAAACAGGAUUAG